AAGAAAUUACAAAACAUAGAGAAUUUGGUACAGAAACUUAGACGAGUAAACUCCACUCAUGAUGAAGCCAGCACAGAUUACAUUGCAUCACUUUGUGAAAACACAAAUCCAGGAUAUAUCUCUGAGAUCUUGUUAGCUUCAGGUCUUCUACUCAGAGAUCUUGGCUCUGAAAUGACCGCAUUUCAGCUCCACUCAGCAGGUCACCCA
rnacentral:misc_RNA from 1 species